UACAGAGGGUGCGAGCGUUUAAUCGGAAUUACUGGGCGUAAAGCGCACGUAGGUGGCGACGUAAGUCGGGUGUGAAAGCCCCGGGCUCAACCUGGGAAUUGCAUUCGAGACUGCAUUGCUGGAGUACGGAAGAGGAAGGCGGAAUUCCCGGUGUAGCGGUGAAAUGCGUAGAUAUCGGGAGGAACAUCAGUGGCGAAGGCGGCCUUCUGGUCCAGUACUGACACUCAAGUGCGAAAGCGUGGGGAGCAAACAGG
rnacentral:rRNA from 1 species